AUAAAUACAAAUCCAAACUAAAAAAGAAUAAUCGGUUUUCUAGUCAAUAUUCUUUGAAACCCAACCAAUUCAUCCCUACUAGUACCAGCCAGAUUUCACAAGAGAACAAGAGAAAGAUGUAAAAUAUGGCUGGCUCAUCAAAAUCGCAUCCAUUAGACUUCCUUUCUCCCAACCAACAUACCAAACACUAAUAAGAAAGCAAGUAAUAUUUUCCCCUUUUCGUUUCCUGGCCACUGCAUUAUUUAAGUACAACCUACAAGAAACUUCAUUUCAAACCACGUACCAUAUCUGUCUUGUGGCUUGUGGAGUUGUG
rnacentral:lncRNA from 1 species